AUCCAGCUGACGAGUCCCAAAUUAGACGAAAUGAGCGUCCUGGAU
rfam:Schistosoma haematobium scaffold298_3, whole genome shotgun sequence.